GGGUUGUGAGGUUAAGCGACUAAGCGUACACGGUGGAUGCCCUGGCAGUCAGAGGCGAUGAAGGACGUGCUAAUCUGCGAAAAGCGUCGGUAAGGUGAUAUGAACCGUUAUAACCGGCGAUGUCCGAAUGGGGAAACCCAGUGCAAUUCGUUGCACUAUCGUUAACUGAAUACAUAGGUUAACGAGGCGAACCGGGGGAACUGAAACAUCUAAGUACCCCGAGGAAAAGAAAUCAACCGAGAUUCCCCCAGUAGCGGCGAGCGAACGGGGAGCAGCCCAGAGUCUGAAUCAGCUUGUGUGUUAGUGGAACGGUCUGGAAAGUCCGACGGUACAGGGUGAUAGUCCCGUACACCAAAAUGCACAGGUUGUGAACUCGAAGAGUAGGGCGGGACACGUGGUAUCCUGUCUGAAUAUGGGGGGACCAUCCUCCAAGGCUAAAUACUCCUGACUGACCGAUAGUGAACCAGUACCGUGAGGGAAAGGCGAAAAGAACCCCGGCGAGGGGAGUGAAAAAGAACCUGAAACCGUGUACGUACAAGCAGUGGGAGCACCUUCGGGUGUGACUGCGUACCUUUUGUAUAAUGGGUCAGCGACUUAUAUUCUGUAGCAAGGUUAACCGUAUAGGGGAGCCGCAGGGAAACCGAGUCUUAACUGGGCGUUAAGUUGCAGGGUAUAGACCCGAAACCCGGUGAUCUAGCCAUGGGCAGGUUGAAGGUUGGGUAACACUAACUGGAGGACCGAACCGACUAAUGUUGAAAAAUUAGCGGAUGACUUGUGGCUGGGGGUGAAAGGCCAAUCAAACCGGGAGAUAGCUGGUUCUCCCCGAAAGCUAUUUAGGUAGCGCCUCGUGAACUCAUCUUCGGGGUAGAGCACUGUUUCGGCUAGGGGGUCAUCCCGACUUACCAACCCGAUGCAAACUACGAAUACCGAAGAAUGUUAUCACGGGAGACACACGGCGGGUGCUAACGUCCGUCGUGAAGAGGGAAACAACCCAGACCGCCAGCUAAGGUCCCAAAGUCAUGGUUAAGUGGGAAACGAUGUGGGAAGGCACAGACAGCCAGGAUGUUGGCUUAGAAGCAGCCAUCAUUUAAAGAAAGCGUAAUAGCUCACUGGUCGAGUCGGCCUGCGCGGAAGAUGUAACGGGGCUAAACCAUGCACCGAAGCUGCGGCAGCGACACUAUGUGUUGUUGGGUAGGGGAGCGUUCUGUAAGCCUGCGAAGGUGUGCUGUGAGGCAUGCUGGAGGUAUCAGAAGUGCGAAUGCUGACAUAAGUAACGAUAAAGCGGGUGAAAAGCCCGCUCGCCGGAAGACCAAGGGUUCCUGUCCAACGUUAAUCGGGCAGGGUGAGUCGACCCCUAAGGCGAGGCCGAAAGGCGUAGUCGAUGGGAAACAGGUUAAUAUUCCUGUACUUGGUGUUACUGCGAAGGGGGGACGGAGAAGGCUAUGUUAGCCGGGCGACGGUUGUCCCGGUUUAAGCAUGUAGGCUGGUUAUCCAGGCAAAUCCGGAUAAUCAAGGCUGAGGUGUGAUGACGAGGCACUACGGUGCUGAAGUAACAAAUGCCCUGCUUCCAGGAAAAGCCUCUAAGCAUCAGGUAACAUCAAAUCGUACCCCAAACCGACACAGGUGGUCAGGUAGAGAAUACCAAGGCGCUUGAGAGAACUCGGGUGAAGGAACUAGGCAAAAUGGUGCCGUAACUUCGGGAGAAGGCACGCUGGUGUGUAGGUGAAGUCCCUGCGGAUGGAGCUGAGACCAGUCGAAGAUACCAGCUGGCUGCAACUGUUUAUUAAAAACACAGCACUGUGCAAACACGAAAGUGGACGUAUACGGUGUGACGCCUGCCCGGUGCCGGAAGGUUAAUUGAUGGGGUUAUCCGUAAGGAGAAGCUCUUGAUCGAAGCCCCGGUAAACGGCGGCCGUAACUAUAACGGUCCUAAGGUAGCGAAAUUCCUUGUCGGGUAAGUUCCGACCUGCACGAAUGGCGUAAUGAUGGCCAGGCUGUCUCCACCCGAGACUCAGUGAAAUUGAACUCGCUGUGAAGAUGCAGUGUACCCGCGGCAAGACGGAAAGACCCCGUGAACCUUUACUAUAGCUUGACACUGAACAUUGAGCCUUGAUGUGUAGGAUAGGUGGGAGGCUUUGAAGCGUGGACGCCAGUCUGCGUGGAGCCAACCUUGAAAUACCACCCUUUAAUGUUUGAUGUUCUAACGUUGGCCCCUGACCGGGGUUGCGGACAGUGUCUGGUGGGUAGUUUGACUGGGGCGGUCUCCUCCCAAAGCGUAACGGAGGAGCACGAAGGUUAGCUAAUCCUGGUCGGACAUCAGGAGGUUAGUGCAAUGGCAUAAGCUAGCUUGACUGCGAGCGUGACGGCGCGAGCAGGUGCGAAAGCAGGUCAUAGUGAUCCGGUGGUUCUGAAUGGAAGGGCCAUCGCUCAACGGAUAAAAGGUACUCCGGGGAUAACAGGCUGAUACCGCCCAAGAGUUCAUAUCGACGGCGGUGUUUGGCACCUCGAUGUCGGCUCAUCACAUCCUGGGGCUGAAGUAGGUCCCAAGGGUAUGGCUGUUCGCCAUUUAAAGUGGUACGCGAGCUGGGUUUAGAACGUCGUGAGACAGUUCGGUCCCUAUCUGCCGUGGGCGCUGGAGAAUUGAGGGGGGCUGCUCCUAGUACGAGAGGACCGGAGUGGACGCAUCACUGGUGUUCGGGUUGUCAUGCCAAUGGCACUGCCCGGUAGCUAAAUGCGGAAGAGAUAAGUGCUGAAAGCAUCUAAGCACGAAACUUGCCCCGAGAUGAGUUCUCCCUGAGACUAUAAGUCUCCUGAAGGAACGUUAAAGACGAUGACGUUGAUAGGCCGGGUGUGUAAGCGCAGCGAUGCGUUGAGCUAACCGGUACUAAUGAACCGUGAGGCUUAACCUUACAACGCCGAAG
rnacentral:rRNA from 1 species